rnacentral:rRNA from 1 species
GACGAACGCUGGCGGCGUGCUUAACACAUGCAAGUCGAACGGAAAGGCCCUGCUUUUGUGGGGUGCUCGAGUGGCGAACGGGUGAGUAACACGUGAGUAACCUGCCCUUGACUUUGGGAUAACUUCAGGAAACUGGGGCUAAUACCGGAUAGGAGCUCCUGCUGCAUGGAGGGGGUUGGAAAGUUUCGGCGGGUGGGGAUGGACUCGCGGCUUAUCAGCUUGUUGGUGGGGUAGUGGCUUACCAAGGCUUUGACGGGUAGCCGGCCUGAGAGGGUGACCGGCCACAUUGGGACUGAGAUACGGCCCAGACUCCUACGGGAGGCAGCAGUGGGGAAUAUUGCACAAUGGGCGGAAGCCGGAUGCAGCAACGCCGCGUGCGGGAUGACGGCCUUCGGGUUGUAAACCGCUUUCGCCUGUGACGAAGCGUGAGUGACGGUAAUGGGUAAAGAAGCACCGGCUAACUACGUG